AUAGAGAAGGAAACCAGAAGCCCCACGAUGCCCAGGAGCCAAGGAAGGGCAGGAAAGCUGAGCAGCGGAAACCAAGGCUGGACGCCCCUUUUGCACCCCAUUCCCGGAGGACCGCCCCACUGAACCUGUCGGGGCGGACAAUGGGGAGACCUCGUGCCACAGAGUUCAGGAUAGUUUUUCCUGAAUCCCAAAGAGAUUCCCCUCCUGACUGCCCUGGAAUAUGGCCUCCAGGGGACCCUGAGCCAGCCCCACCUCUUUUUCCUAGGUCUACCUUGGACAGCGACUGUCCCCAAAACCAAAUGUACACUAGGGGGCGCAGGCAGCAACCCUAGACAAAGCUCGAGGGAAAAGGAUCCAGGGGCCCUGAGGGAGGCACAAGAACGAACCAGAGCCCCCAAAGGGUUGGGGAUGUGGGGACUGCUCUUCUCGGUCCUGGUCCCACUACAAAUGACCCGCCGAAAUCGAACCUGAGGUUUGCAGGGACAUUGUGAGGGAGGGGCGGGACAACAUCAUCCAAUUAUCUGUUACAUAAGGGCCAGAGAAAGCGGUCAUUGUGGAGAGACCUAAGGGACGAUAGAACGGGGUUAGUACCCGGUGAAUUCAAACACCAGGAAAAGAAUGGAACCUACACAAACCUUCAUUCAGUGCACAACCUCAAAGCUUUCAGGGAGGGGAGGGGGGAGAUGUAAAAAAAAAAAAAAGGGGUCGUAAUGCUUCCUGGGAUUUGUAGUCUAUGUCAACGACUCUCAAGCGCGCGCACGACGGGGCCUUCCCCUUCCGCACUCUACUUCCCAGUAGGUUUUGCGGGCAUCCGGUCUGCAGCACUAUAGGCUGUCUUGCCGCCCAGUGAAAUGUAUCCUGGGAAUGCUCCUUCCGCUUCUCUGAAUGCACCUCUGAUUCGCUGACCCGGAGAGGGUAAAGGAGUAAGAGCGUCAGCGUUGCAUCGGAUCCUCGCUCUCCGUUCCUCGCUUCCUGCUCUGUCGGAGGCACCGAGCUCAGCCCUGUAAAGACCCUGCUCUUCCCCGGCAGCAGAUGGAGGCCGAGGAGGGCCCGACUUCUGGCUGCCUCAUGGCCGCCUUUCAGGAGCCGGUGACCUUCCGGGACGUGGCCGUGGACUUCACCUGGGAGGAGUGGAGGGUCCUGGAGCCGGCGCAGAGGGCCCUGCACAGGGACGUGAUGCUGGAGACCUUCCAGAACCUGGUCUCUGUGGGGAUUCCUGUUUCCAGACUAGAUGUGAUCUCCCUAUUGGAGAAGCCAGAAGGAGCCUGGAGUCCCGAGAGCAGAGACUCCAGUGGGUCUCAUCAAGAUUCCUUCAGCGAAGACACUGGACUUCAAGCCAAGAACUUAACCAUGGUGCAGAGCAUUUGCCUGGGGACAUCCUCUGAGAAGAGGCUCCCAAAGGGCAUGGCCUGGCAUUGCCACGUGAACGAAGCCAGGGAAUAUGAUAUGAAUUUAGAGAAAGAGAAGAGCCCAUCCAGAGAAGGGACCAUUCCCAGAAUGACUUUGAAUAAUGGGAAUGUGCCUCCGUGUAUGGCAGUUGGGAAGAACUUCAGUCUUGAGCCAGUCUUUGUUGGAACUAUGGAGAAAAGUCCGGAUAAAUAUAAGACAAUUGGAAAGAGCUUGAGAGGUUUUUCAAGCCUAAUUACUUAUAAUACAUUUUCUUCAGAGAAGAACUUUUCCAAGUAUGUCAAAGGCAAAAAACCUUUCAGGUAUCGCUCAGGAUUAUUUAAAUUUCAUAGAAUAGAUGCUAUAGGAAAUCUACAUGAACAGAGUGAAUGUAGAACAGUAUUUAAAAGAUCAAAUCUUACUGAAAAUCAGAGACAUCCCAUAGGAGACAGUCAUUAUAAAUAUAGUAAGUAUAGAAAAAACAAUGUCAAAAAAGGAAGCUUGAUUGAACUUAAAAUAAAUCAUGCUGAAGUGAAACCCUUUAAAUGUGAUGAAUGUGGUAAACCUUUUGGUAGGAGGGAAAACCUGAUUGCACAUAAGAGAAUUCAUACUGGAGAGAAACCUUUUAUUUGUAAUCAAUGUGGAAAAAGCUUCAGCCAUAAGGGAAACCUGAUUGCUCAUCAUAAAAUUCAUACAGGGGAGAAACCUUUUGCAUGUAAUGAAUGUGGAAAAAGCUUCCGCCAUAGGGGAAGCCUGCUUGCUCAUCAUAAUACUCACACAGGGGAGAAAUCUUUUCCAUGUAAUGAAUGUGGAAAAAGCUUCAUUCAUAGGGCAAAUCUUAUUUCUCAUCAGAGAACUCAUACAGGGGAGAAACCAUUUUCAUGCCAUGAAUGUAUGAAAAGCUUUUGUCACAGGGGAAACCUCAUUGCCCAUCGCCGAACUCAUACCAUAGAGAAACCAUUUGAAUGUAAUGAGUGUGGGAAAACAUUCCGCUCUAGCAGAAGCCUUAUUCGACACCAGAGAACUCACACUGGCGAGAAACCUUUUGCAUGUAACAUAUGUGGGAAAGCCUUCACCACUAAGACAUAUCUCUUUGAUCAUCAGAGAAUUCAUACUGGAGAAAAACCUUUUAAAUGUAAUGAAUGUGGGAAAGGCUUUGGCCAGAGAGGAUACCUCAUUUGUCAUCAAGGAGUUCAUACUGGGAAAAAACCCUUUGAAUGUAGUGAAUGUGGAAAAGCCUUCACCCGGAGAGCUCGCCUUAUUGUACAUCAGAGAACUCACACUGGAGAGAAACCAUUUGUAUGUAAGGAAUGUGGGAAAGGCUUUAACCGGAGGGACCAUCUCACUUCUCAUCAGAGAGUUCAUACUGGAGAGAAACCCUUUGUAUGUAAUGAGUGUGGGAAAGCCUUUUCCCAGAGAGCAAGUCUUAUUAAACAUCAGCAAAGUCAUACAAGAGAAAAACACUUUGAAUGUAAUGAAUGUGGAAAAGUCUUCACCCGGAGGUCGUACCUUAUUAUUCAUCAAAGAAAUCACACUGGAGAGAAACCCUUUAUAUGUAAUGAGUGUGGGAGAGCCUUUACCCAGAAAGCAAGUCUUUUUAACCAUCAGCGAACUCAUACAGGAGAGAAACCCUUUGUUUGCAAUGAAAAAGGGAAAUCUUUUAGCCACAGGGACUCCCUCACUAACCAUCAAAGAACUCACACUGGAGAGAAACCCUUUAUAUGUAAUGAAUGUGGGAAAGCCUUCAACUAUGUAGUAGCACUCAAGUGUCAUCAAAGAACUCAUCAUGGAGAGAAACUCUUUGAAUGUCAGGAUUGUGGGAAAACUUUUAGGCGCAAAGCAAACCUCAUGUUCCACCAGAAAACCCAUAUAAAAGAGAAACCCUUUGCAUGUAAUGAAUGUGGGAAAGACUUUAGUAGGAGUUCUAACCUUAUUACUCAUCAGAAAAUUCAUACUGGAAAGAAACAGAAUUUGUUGAGAUAGACCACAUAGGAACUACCCCUUCACUGCCACUAGAGAAUUCAUAUGAUUCUGGCAAUUCAAUAGGAGAAACAUCUGUCCUUUCUAAAGUAAUUCAUUGUGCUUCUUUUUGGUUAACAUGUCACCUACAUUUCUCAACCUGUGCCUUUUUCAUCCCCUCCAAAUCCAACACAUGAAAAAACAGACAUUGUAUGCACUUUUGCACACUGGAGAGUCCACCAUAUUUGUAAAGAAGUGGUUGUAAUGGGCUGAGGUUCAAAUUGACGCACUGAGGUCCCAAGCACGUGAGGCUAAAUAGUAAUUGGACCAUACUCUAUUAAUAUAUAUGCUUGGAGAAAGAAUGGCCCUGCCCACUCUUUGUGCAAGUCCUGAUGGGUUGUAUAGGAAAUGAUGGUUUUGGUGGGUGGAGGCAGGGGAGUGGAAAGGGAAGCGGAAAGAGAGACUGCUUGCUGGUUUCUUGACACAGCUGCUCGCAUUGCUAUCGCAACCCCCCUUCACCUCCGAUCCUCCUUUCACCUGCAAUCCCCCUUCACCUCUGCUGGCUGGCUUCCUGUCGCAGCUGCCCAUAUUGCUAUCGCAAUCCCCCUUCAUCUCAAAAAGAAUAAAGAUUGAAGAUUUUUCCCUUAACUUGAAUUCCUGACUCCGGCUGAUUUUAACUAUACAGUCAUCACAUUUGGCGCCCAAGCGUGGGAACCAAGGACCCUACUUUCACUGAAGAAGUCUACAGUGACCAGGAACUUAGGUGAGUAUAAGACAAACAGGGAACUUACUUUCUUAAAGACUAAACUAGUAACCUUUUUUGGCUGAAAUGGGAGCGAUGCUAGCUAAAGAUUCUUCAUCCCCCACCCCCACCCAGGAGUGGCGCUACAGAAAGCAUGCUUAAGCUGAUAGAAGAUCAAGGGCUAUUUAUAACUUGGGAACAGAUAGCUAGACUUCUGGGUACAUUAAAACGCACCUCCCCUUGGUUCUUAGAGGAAGAGCAAAUCUCUCCAGAUAAUUGGACAUUAAUUGGGCAACAGCUCUCUGCAUAUUACAAUGAAAACGGUCCUCAUUCAAUUUCCAUCGAGGCAUUCUAUUUAUACGAUAUAAUACAGUUGGCCUUAAGAAAUCGGAUAAGUUAUAAAAGAAAGAGAAAAAGCUCUAGGAAUAGCCAAAUGGGGAAGCCUGAGAUAAAGGAGGAAGAUAAUGAAUAGAUUAAUGACCAUAUCUCCACAGAUAAGUGAGGCUCAAGGGUGUGGUGAAUCUGAGGCAACUUCAGCCCCGUAAAGAGCAAGUAAUUGACUCUCCUCUAUCAACUCCAUCCUCUGGGAUGGAGGGAGGAGGAGUAGUGGGGGGGCAGUGACAGCACCAGCACCUCCCCCCCAGCAUCCAGCAGCUCCUAUGAGUAGAUUGCAAAAGCAAUUAAUUAAGGCCAAAGAGGAAGGGAGAAAUGUAUCAGAAUUUCAACACCACAUUUUUCCUGUAAUUCAACAGUUUAGUUCUUCAGGUCAAGAAAGUAGAAAAUUAAAAAAAAAAAAAAAAAAGAAAGUAGAAAAUACGCUCCUUUUGCUAUAGAAAUCCUCAAAGAUCUGAAAAAGGCUUGCACUUUUUAUGGGGCUACAUCAGCUUAUGUUAAGAUGUUAUUACAGAACUUGGCUUUUGAAAUUUUGACCCCUAAUGACUGGAAAUCUAUAGGAAGGGUAUGCCUAGAACCUGUGGCUUUCUGAAUAUAGUGAGCUCUGUGGAAUACAAGCCCAACAAAAUAGUCAAAGUGGAGUUCAUGCUGCAAUCACCUAUGACCUCCUAACAGGUGUAGGUUCCUAUGCAGAUGCAAUACAGAUUAAUUAUUCCAUAGCAACCUAUGAGGAAAUGAACCCUUUGCUGACUUUGUGGGAUGUUUGCAGACAGCUAUCACAAGAACUAAUGGUGAAAAUGCAGUUAACAGACAUUUUGAUAAGGUAACUUGCUAAGGAAAAUGCUAAUGAGGUCUGCAGAAGAAUUAUACUAGGACUGCACAAGGAUGCUCCUUUAGAGGCGCUCAUAAGACGCUGUGCCACAGUGGGCACAAAUGCCUUUUAUAGCCAGGCUAUGAUGCAGACUUCCCAAGAUCCCAAUAUGGGAAGAAAGGGUCCCUUCUGGCAAGGAACUACCAGAGAGACUCGUAGAUGUUUUCAGUGUGGAAAAGUUGGACAUUUGAGAGCUCAUUGUAGGUAUGGAGAUAGAAUGAGAAGACAGGGUAAGAGAAUAAAACCCAAAACCCCUUAUCCAAAAUGUAAUCGAGGCUUUCACUGGGCCUCUGAAUGUAGAUUGACCCAAUGAGAGAAAUGAGAGGCAGGGCCCAGCUCCAAGGUAUCAAUCAAAAGAUAGGUGGAGCAUGAUAGCAACUGAGAUUACACCCAGAGAGUCUUUAGAAAUUCAGGACUCUGAUGUCAUCAACCAACAGAAAAGCAACAGAAUUACAGGUUACAGGCCUUUUAACACAACAGGACAGUGUCCAGUGCAAACAGCUCCACUAUCUUUAGAUAAUCGCCAGGUGAUGUGGAGGGAUCCAGAAAGUGGCAAAUAGAAGGGAAUUGUAUAGGUUAACUGCUUGGGGAAGAGGGUUUGCUUGUAUUUUUACAGGAGGAGAAAGAAUUGGGUACCAACGAGCCGUAUUCGCCUUGUCCAUCACAGAGAGAAGGAGCAGACCCUUGAAACGAAGGAGAAGGCCCAAGAAAUAUCGGGUGGUUCUGUUGCUGAUUGUGCUCACCAUUUAAAGAGCGUGGCAGUUAUGGCGUUUGACUCAUGGACAUAGAAAAUUGUUGGACUUCAAAACCUUCAGAAAUCAUUGGAUUCUCUGAGACAUGAUAAGAUUGUUGUAGGACUUGAAAACCCUCAGGAAUCAUUGGAUUCUCUGAGACAUAAGAUUGUUGUAGGACUUGAAAACUCUCAGGAAUCAUUGGAUUCUCUGAGACAUAAGACUUGAAACCCUCAGGAAUCAUUGGAUUUUCUGAGAAAUGAUAAGACUGUUACAGGACUUCAAAAUCUGCUGGAAUCAUUGGAUUCCCUAACAUAUAAAAAGACUUUUGCAGGACUUCAAAAACUUGGGGGCAUCAUUGGAUUCCCUGACAUGUGAAGCAAUGGACAAUAGAUUGGUUUUGGACUAUCUCUUGGCUGCUGAAGAAGGCGUAUGUGUGACUGCUAUUUACAUACCCUCCUUCUAGGACUUCUGGCAAUCUUUUACAACACCAUAUUGAUUUAUAUUGUUUGUUAUGCUGUUACUUGUGUGUACAAUUCAUGUUUGUUACACCACAUUAAGCCUAUACUGACUGUGGGGAGGGUCAUCACUAAUAGCCUCUGCGUUAUUGCUAUGUGCUUGUGUAAUACCUCCCAUGCUGAUGGGUUUGUGCAUAAUAAGACCAUUCAGCCCAGAAACCCGCUAGCAACCCCCACUUCCCUUUGGUGCUUUUCAUCUCCCUUCCUGAGAUGUCAGGGAGGGCGUGAUCAUCUCCUUUUUAGUGCUUUCACCUCCCUUCCUGAGAAGUCAAGGAGGGUGUGAUCACCUCCCCUUGGGGGCUCUGACCUCCCUGAGGAAUCAGGGAUGGCAUGACCACCUGUGUUCUAAAACAAAAGAAAGCGGGAGAUGUAAUGGGCUGAGGCUCGAGUUGAUGCACUGAGGUCCUAAGCACGUGAGGCUAAAUAGCAAUUGGACCAUACUCUGUUAUAUAUGUUUGGAGAAAGAAUGGCCCCACCCACUCUUUGUGUAAGUCCUGAUGUGUUGUAUAGGAAAUGAUGGUUUUGGUGGAUUGAGGAAGUGGAAAGGGAAGCUGAAAGAGAGAUUGCUGGCUGGUAUCUUGACACAGCUGCUUGCAUUGCUAUCACAACUCCCCAUCACCUCCGAUCCCCCUUUCACCUGCAAUCCCCCUUCACCUCUGCUGGCUGGCUUCCUGUCGCAGCUGCCUAUAUUGCUAUCGCAAUCCUCCUUCACCUCAAAAAGAAUAAAGAUUGAAGAUUUUUCCCUUAACUUGAA